UUUGAGAGUGAGGUGGAAUGAGGCCACAUUCAUAUAAUCUAUCACAGCGUAUUAGAAUUAUUCUAUUAUCAGUAAUUACAGAUCCGAUCAUAUUGCGGCACUAGAGUAACGCACAAGAAAACUGGAGACGUACACACCUGUGUGCUUUUAAACAAUGUGUUCACACACGAAAACCAGGCAUUACUGCUUACGUGCAGAGGAAAAUCUAGAAAUGGACAUACAGUGCAUAUCCCAAGGAACCGCUACUGAAGCAAUGUUUAGUAAUUGUAUUUGCUCACAUCAUCCCAUCUCAAGUAAAACCUGGAGAAUAUACAAGCCACAGUGGCACUGACACUAACUUCCUGCUAUGACCUAGAGCUGUAAUUAAUUCUUGAGCUGUGAUUUUCAGUUGCAUUAAACUCAGUCCUUAAGGACACCAAA